AAGAGACAGCAGCCGCCACGGUAAAACGUAGGUGGCAAGCGUUGUCCGGAAUUAUUGGGCGUAAAGGGCUCGCAGGCGGUUUCUUAAGUCUGAUGUGAAAGCCCCCGGCUCAACCGGGGAGGGUCAUUGGAAACUGGGAAACUUGAGUGCAGAAGAGGAGAGUGGAAUUCCACGUGUAGCGGCGAAAUGCGUAGAGAUGUGGAGGAACACCAGUGGCGAAGGCGACUCUCUGGUCUGUAACUGACGCUGAGGAGCGAAAGCGUGGGGAGCGAACAGGAUUAGAUACCCCCGUAGUCCCUGUCUCUUAUAC
rnacentral:rRNA from 1 species